rnacentral:lncRNA from 1 species
AUAUAAACAAACAAAAGAAACAAAGAGUUUGUUUUAAUUUUAAAUGACACAAUUACCCAUCAUCCAGUUAUUUUAAAUUAAUAAUAUCAUUAAAGAAAUAAAGUGAAAAGACAAAUCAUUAUUUAUGUAAGAUAUAUUUCAAACAAAAACAUACCCUCAGCGUAUGGUACAAUUGAUCAAAAAUACAACUUCUUCUGUUACGUAAUGAUAUUUCUCUAUACCUGUUUAAACAAAUAACAACUAAUAUAAUAACUAAACCUAACUGAUUACAAAAGAUAUACAGAACUAUAAAAUACAAUACAACUGUAAUACUUAAACUUUCACAACUACUGUUAUCAACAAAUGCACGUGCGUUUGUUUACAAUUUACCGGAUGUUUACAACAAGUAGGAUGCGCCGGCAUCUAUUGCACGUCAUUAGCAUCGUGACGUAUUGCAUUCCUAACAUACCAAAGAUAAGAGAAGGUUUCAGCAGUAUCCCAUGCUGAGCGCAUGAAAAAUCGGAUUACAUUAAUCACUAUCAACACGUGUGUGAGGAACAAUAAUGACCUGAGAUAAUCAUUUAACAAUAGGGAAUACCACCGAUCAUUAUUUAAUUUACAUUAAGAUAAGAAAAUAAUCUUUACCGUUAAAUGGGUAAUAAAAUUGAUUAUAAG